rnacentral:rRNA from 1 species
CCUACGGGUGGCAGCAGUGGGGAAUAUUGGGCAAUGGACGCAACUCUGAACCAGCAAUGCAGCGUGAGGGAUGAAGGUCCUAUUGUUGUUAAGCUCUUUUCUUUGGAACGAAUAAAUGCCGGUGCCAGAGGAAUAAUACCCAGCUAACUACGUGCCAGCAGCCGAGGGAAUACGCGGGGGGCCAGUAAUGUUCGGAAUGACAGGGCGUAAAGGGUGUGUUGGGGGUGUGAGAAGUUAGAGGUGUAAUACCCAGGGCUUAACGCGGGUGCUGCAGCUAAAACUGUUAGACUUGAGUACUGGAGAGGAUAGUGGAAUUCGUGGUGUAGCGGUGGAAUGCGUAGAUAUUAGGAGGAACAUC